CUCUCUUCCCCCCUCCAUCGUUUCAAGCCUGGAAGAGCCAUCAAGCUGGUACCAUCCUCCUCCUUUAUCUAUAUAUAAUUGAGUUUUAAUAAUAGAAAAUUCCACACAUAUACAUAUAUAUAUAUAUAUAUAUAUAUAUAUAUAUUUGUUUAUAUACUCUUAUAUGUACAUGUGUGUGUUAUAGGGCGUUGAUUUAUGCUAAUCUGUGAAGAAAUUAAGAGUGAGAAAAUGAAUAGAUGCGCAUAUCAGCAGAACAACAACGCCUUUGCUUCUCUUGGAGAUUUCAGGAUGAGGGGUUCUUCUAUUUCAGACGGCGUCGUUUGCCCUAAACCUCGUCGCGUUGGUCUCUUGAAUCCUUCAAAGUAUGUCUCUUUUUUUCUUUUUUAUUUAUUUUAAAUAUGAUAUAAAAAAAAUGAGCUUUGAUUUUGAUUUUCACAUCUAACCCAUGUUUUUUAGUGUUUAUUUGUAGUUAUCAAACGGAUUUAUGUGAUUCAAGAGCAGGGCCGGAGCUUCUGGACAUUAUUCUCACGAAG
rnacentral:lncRNA from 1 species